rnacentral:tRNA from 1 species
AGCCUUAUAGUCAUUUUUUGAUAUAAAAUUGCAAAUUUUAUGGGGUAUAAUAUACUAAGGCUU